UUAACUAUUUGUCUUUUUUUCAGAAGGCAUAGGUAGCUGAGUUUUGGUCUUUCGGCAGGCAUUAUAGUGGAAACCCCCCUGGGCCCCGCCUGCCGAAGCAACGGUAUAGAAUGUUCACAAGGGUUUGGAGUUUUGCAACUCUGUAAUGAUCCCUCCGCUGGUUCACCAACGGAGA
rnacentral:misc_RNA from 1 species